AUGCCCAGGACCCCGCCGCGAGGGUCCAGCUCCCGCACACGACACGCACGACUCCCCGAGGCGACGGGGCACAACACCAGGCAGAGGUGGGGAGAAGCCUACAUAUCCCACCGGCUCUGGCAGCCGCUGUACCCCCCAGUGCCCGGCCCGGCCCCACCAGCCCCGGAGCGGCCGCCGCGCCUGAUCCCCGUAAUGCGUUUCCCACCUGCCCGCGGGCGCCCCGCGCUCCCCGGCGCCAGCGCGUCCGUCUCCGUCCCCUCACAGCGGCAACUGAGCCCCCGCGCGCGCCAACACGCACCUCACUGCCGCCCUGCGCCGCAUCCCUCCGCCGGCCCCGGCCUUCCACUACGGCCCCCCUGCAGCCAACAAGCCACGGGAGCCGCCGCCACCGCAGGCGAAAGGGAGACGGCGGAGGCGCCCUGUCGCCCGCGGGCCACGGCGGGUCUGAGGGUGGCCUCCGCGCGAAGCCCCGCCGAGCCCCGGCAGGCGAGUCCCGCGGAAGGAUACACGACGCAGCGACAGCCGCGAACAACAGAAAUCGGAGGCGGGAACGGGUGGAAGUGACCUUUGAGGUGCUGCCGUGAGGAGCUAACUCUGGUUAAAUGGACGAAAGCAAUCCUCGGCCGCCUCCAUUCUUCUCUUCCCCCUUUGUUCUUUAAGCACCCGUUCUUUUGCGGUUUAUUAAUACGAAAACCAUUUUAGAGUCGCUGCCUUUUGUGAAGAUAAAGGAUUGCUUUUUUUUUUUUUUGUGGACUUCCCAAUUAUUUGCUGCUAAGUGUUUGAACUCGUCCUGGCACAAGGAGCCGAGCCAAGCUCCAGCUCGAGGUGUUUACUAUCGUAAAAUGAAAUGUGUCCAAACAUUCAUAAAAUGAAAUAUGUGCGGGGACUUCCAAAAAGCAGUCGUGCAAGACUCCCAUCACCCCACAAUAAUCUGCCCUAAAUAACCACCUGCCUUGCACAUCUGAUAAAAGCCAGGCCUGGUCAUAGCUUGACUCAACCCUCAUAAAUGUUUUUAUAACAUCUAACAUGAAUAAAUGGGCACUUCAUCCUUCA
rnacentral:lncRNA from 1 species